ACCUGUUCCUGCCUCGCUCAGUCCUGCUUAGGGGAUUUGGGUCUUUGCCCUUGCUCUGCUGUGCCCCAUGGCUCAGCCCCAUGCUGCUGUGCACCCAGGGUGCUCUUGGGGCAUGGGAGGGGACGUGCUGGUAGUGCUGGGGCCACUGGGAGGGGGCUGGAUCCUGCAGCUGUGCCUCGCUGGUCCCAUCUGCCACAGCUCGCAGCCAACUUCUGCUUCUGCGAGCGCCGGCCUCACUUCUCCUUUGCACCCCGAGACAGGCGACCACUGUGAGAAACCAAGUUGUGUUUUUGCAGUACAAUGUGUUUUUGCAGUGGAAAAUCCACUAACCUUGCAUAUUCAAAAGUGAUUGUGCAGGCAUGACAGUGGCAUAGCAGUGGGGAGGAGUAUGUUAAGCAGAUAAGGGGAAGGUCCCACUGUCCCAAAAUAAGGAGGAUAGCUAAGAAAAACAGGACGAGCAGUACGAAAUCAGUAAAAACAAAAAUCACGGGCCCUCUAGUCAUGAGAGAAGAAGGAAAAAAAGGAAAAAGAGAAAUCAACGGUUGGUCAAAUAAAACUGUACAUGUAUGGUAUUGUAAUAAGUGUCGAGUAGGUUGUGAACCUGUAGUACUCAGCCAAUGAGGAAAUGGGAGGAAUCAGGUGUCAGGUAAUAGGGAAUAUAAGGUUAUGAUAUACUUUUGUUGUGCGCUUCUGCUUGCAGGACGCCUGCCAUUGCAGCUGUGAAUAAAAUAGCUUCACAGAAGAUCCUGUCUGAAAAAAAUUAUUGAGAUUUUUCUCACACUGCUGGGCAGUGGGAGCACCCCAGAGAGCUGGGUGGGAGCCAGCAGGGCUCAGGACUUGCCCAGCACCUGCCCACAUGGCCCAGAGUGUGCUCUACACCAAACUGAGGUUCACCAACAGGCCAGGGGGCCAUGGCAUGGCCAGCCAGGCACUGGAGGCAGGUGAGAGCUAUGGAGCUAUGGGACCCCCGCAUUGCCCUGUGCUGUGCCCAGCUCCGUCGUCUCCAUGCCCCCUGCCUUCCUCCCGCAGCCCUUGGCAUGGACGAGGCCGAGAGCCCCUACGAGAACAUGGCAUCGGGGCCGGCGCCCACGGGGCCGGCUGCGGAAGGGACCCUGGAAAGCCCAGGGCCCUGCUCCCGGCGGUGCUGCGUCUCUGCGGGGCUGCUGGUCACCUGCCUGCUGCUGCUGGUGGCUGCCGUGGUCCUGGGGGCCUGUUGUGAGUGGGGAUGGGGUCGUACUGAGGCAUGGGGACAGGGGAGAUGGGACGGGUUGGGUGCCCCAGGCAGAUAUCAGACCGUGUAUGUGUCUGUGGGUCCCCCCGCCCUGUCUGCCCCAAGCUGGCCAAUGUCCGUCUUGCAUCAUGGGCUUCUCCCUCACCUGCCAUCAACCAUCUUCUUGUUCUUCCUUUCUGCUCCUGCCCUUGCCCUGCUCUCCCUGCUCCCUCCCCAUCCCACCCUGUCCUGCUCUCCCCUGCCAGGCCCAUGCUUCCCUGCCUUCCCCAUCCCUUCCCACUCAGCAGGGGCACCUCCCUGCCCUGCCUGCCCAACACACGGGCUGUCCUGUCACCACACCCUGGCUCACCCCACCUCGUCCCCAGACUGGCAGGUGACCCUCUGGCUGUGGGAAACAUCCCUAGAGCAGGCGUACGAGCAUGGCCACUUCUCGCAGGAGGCACAGCUGUGGGAGCAGAGCCUGGAGCAGAUGCAGUGGGAGCUGGUGCAGGCAUGA
ensembl:lncRNA